AAGUAGCAAUACUUUGGUGGCGACCGGCGCACGGGUGAGUAACGCGUAUGCAACCCACUUAUCAGAGGGGAAUAACCCGGCGAAAGUCGGACUAAUACCGCAUAAAACAGGGACACCGCAUGGUGAUAUUUGUUAAAGAAAUUCGCUGAUAGAUGGGCAUGCGUUCCAUUAGGUAGUUGGUGAGGUAACGGCUCACCAAGCCGACGAUGGAUAGGGGAACUGAGAGGUUGGUCCCCCACACUGGUACUGAGACACGGACCAGACUCCUACGGGAGGCAGCAGUGAGGAAUAUUGGUCAAUGGGCGAGAGCCUGAACCAGCCAAGUCGCGUGAAGGAAGAAGGAUCUAUGGUUCGUAAACUUCUUUUGCAGGGGAAUAAAGUGCAGGACGUGUCCUGUUUUGUAUGUACCCUGAGAAUAAGGAUCGGCUAACUCCGUGCCAGCAGCCGCGGUAAUACGGAGGAUCCGAGCGUUAUCCGGAUUUAUUGGGUUUAAAGGGUGCGUAGGUGGUUUGAUAAGUCAGCGGUGAAAGUUUGCGGCUUAACUGUAAAAAUGCCGUUGAAACUGUCGGACUUGAGUGUAAAUGAGGUAGGCGGAAUGCGUGGUGUAGCGGUGAAAUGCUUAGAUAUCACGAAGAACUCCGAUUG
rnacentral:rRNA from 1 species